CCUGCAAGCCGCCAUUUACCCACCCAUAAAAACAGUAAUAAUCGCAAAUUUCACCUCCCAGGUAAUGCAUGCCAUAGGCCUAGAACAGAGCCCAGCAUAUAGUGAGCAUAUGUAAUAUAUAUACCACGCCAAUUUAUGUACCAGCAAAAAAUGAGUCAUAAUUACAGUCUUCCUUAAUACAGAAUCAGUCUCAAUCACAUUAAAUAUUUACUGAACACUCAUUAAGGGCCAGACUAGGCUAAAUAUCCGAAUACAAGAUAAAUAAGAUGUGACCUCUGUCCUCAAGGAGUUUAUGGUCCAGUUCAGGAAAUACAGGAAGUACUGAGGUUGAAGGGCAUAUGAAAUGCUGACAUGGGGAUCACUGAAUUAGAGAGCUCCAGAUUACUUCCAGGACGGAGAACAUAUGGACAUGGCAGUGAAGACUUGGCCAUAGAGAUCAUGCAGGGAAGCUGGGGACGUGUGCAAGACCAUAACGGAGGACAGACUACGACAGGCACCAGACCCGGAGUCUGAGAUAGGAGAUGGAACACCCCUAGCAACUCUAAGAUCACUCAUGUUCCAAAAAGGCAAUGGAAGGAAUGCUGACCAAGGAACGCCGGGCAGGUACUACACACAAGCCCAAACUGAAUUACUUGCAAUAACAAAACAAAGCAGCUAAUUUACUUUGUGUGCAACAAAAUAGGUCAAAUACCAAAGGGAGAAAAGCAUUAAAGGCAAGGAAUCUUUUGGUGCC